UAACGUCUCGAAACUAGGUGAAUUUUUUUUUAUUGUAUCCAUUGAUGAUAUAGUCAUGAUAUAAUUAUACAUGUGACUUACGUAUGGAAUUAAAGUUUCGGUUUCCAUUUGAGAUUGUCCAUUUACACUUGCGCCAAUUAAAAACAAUGCAAUUAUGAUAAACUCUAUUGUUUUACAAUAUGCGAUUUUAAAAUAUUUCAUUUUCACAAAAAAAUAAUAAUUAUUAUGAAUACUUCUUCGCGAUAUUUUUUUUGUCAAAUGCACUCAGUUUUAGAAUUCUAGUUUGAUUCGUACACGAUUUGACAAUAUUAUCGUAUAUUUUAAAAUAAAAUAGUACACCACAUGUGCGUAGAUAUAACGUUACAUAUUGUUUUUCACAUAUAGGGUGACUCAAGGUAGAUUAUGAUUGU